rnacentral:rRNA from 1 species
AACAAACGCUGGCGGCGUGCCUAAUACAUGCAAGUCGAACGGGGAAAGCUUUCGGGUGAGUACUAGUGGCGCACGGGUGAGGAACGCGUGGAUAAUCUGCCUUAGGGUGGGGGAUAACUAGUCGAAAGAUUAGCUAAUACCGCAUAAGACCACAGGAGCUGCGGCUCAAGGGGUCAAAGGUUUUUCGCUGUAAGAUGAGUCCGCGUAAGAUUAGCUAGUUGGUGAGGUAACGGCUCACCAAGGCGACGAUCUUUAACUGGUCUGAGAGGAUGAUCAGUCACACUGGAACUGAGACGCGGUCCAGACUCCUACGGGAGGCAGCAGUAGGGAAUAUUGCACAAUGGAGGAAACUCUGAUGCAGCGACGCCGCGUGAGUGAUUAAGGCCUUCGGGUCGUAAAGCUCUGUCGCAGGGGAAUAACACAAUGAAUGUACCCUGUAAGAAAGGAUCGGCUAACUUCGUGCCAGCCGCCGCAGUAAAAC